UACGUAGGGUGCGAGCGUUAAUCGGAAUUACUGGGCGUAAAGCGUACGCAGGCGGCUUUGCAAGACAGGUGUGAAAUCCCCGGGCCUAACCUGGGAACUGCAUUUGUGACUGCAUGGCUAGAGUUUGUCAGAGGGGGGUGGAAUUCCACGUGUAGCAGUGAAAUGCGUAGAUAUCGUUUGGAACGCCAAUGGUGAAAACAGGUUGCUGGGAGUGUGCUGACGCUGAGACACGAAAGCCAGGGGAGCGAACGGG
rnacentral:rRNA from 1 species